UCCCUGGUGGUCCAGUGGUUAAGACUCUGUGCUGCCAAUGCAGGAGACCUGGGUUUGAUCCCUGGUUGGGAAA
rnacentral:tRNA from 1 species